rnacentral:rRNA from 1 species
UGGGGAAUAUUGGACAAUGGGGGCAACCCUGAUCCAGCCAUGCCGCGUGAGUGAUGAAGGCCUUCGGGUUGUAAAGCUCUUUUGGCGGGGACGAUGAUGACGGUACCCGCAGAAUAAGCCCCGGCUAACUUCGUGCCAGCAGCCGCGGUAAGACGAAGGGGGCUAGCGUUGUUCGGAAUUACUGGGCGUAAAGCGAGUGUAGGCGGUUGCCGUAGUCAGGUGUGAAAGCCUUGAGCUCAACUCAAGAAAUGCACUUGAUACUGGGUGACUAGAGGACCGGGAGAGGAUAGUGGAAUUCCCAGUGUAGUGGUGAAAUACGUAGAGAUUGGGAAGAACACCAGUGGCGAAGGCGGCUAUCUGGACGGUUACUGACGCUAAGACUCGAAAGCGUGGGGAGCAAACAGGAUUAGAUACCCUGGUAGUCCACGCCGUAAACGAUGGGUGCUAGACGUUGGCGAGCUUGCUCGUCAGUGUCGCAGCUAACGCGUUAAGCACCCCGCCUGGGGAGUACGGCCGCAAGGUUGAAANUCAAAGAAUUGACGGGGUCUAGCUGUUUCCU